rnacentral:rRNA from 2 species
UUUUAAAGAGAGUUUGAUCCUGGCUCAGGACGAACGCUGGCGGCGUGCCUAAUACAUGCAAGUCGAACGAACGGAGGAA